AGCGCACGCGCCCGACUGAGGAGGUUGCCGCGUGGGCCGGGCAUUCGUUGGGAUAACGGUCCCACCUGCCGCCCAGCAGGAGGGAGCCUGAGGGGAACAUGGACAAAAGAUACCUAACCCAGAUGGAUGAGCAGAGCACCUUGCCCAAAACAAAACUGGUGUCUCGUCUCCAGUUGGGACCAGAGAAUAGAGAAAUACCACAUAUGGUUGAAGGAAGGUAUAUUAUGCAUGAACAAGCUGUCAACGUUGAGGAAAACAGCAGUUCACUGCCCUCUUCAGUAGAGAAGUAUCCUACUGCACUCCGUACAGCAGUUUACAGAACAGGCACAGAAAGGAAACACAAAACAACAGUAA